UACGUAGGCAGCAAGCGUUGUUCGGAGUUACUGGGCGUAAAGAGUGUGUAGGUGGUGUCGUAAGUUUGGUGUGAAAUCUCCCGCUUAACUGGGAGGGUGCGCCGAAGACUGCGAUGCUGGAGUAUGGGAGAGGAAAGCGGAAUUCCUGGUGUAGCGGUGAAAUGCGUAGAUAUCAGGAGGAACACCUGCGGUGUAGACGGCUUUCUGGACCAUUACUGACACUGAGACACGAAAGCGUGGGUAGCAAACAGG
rnacentral:rRNA from 1 species